UAAUUUCACACUACAAGAUUGAAAACGAUUAUUUCACGUUUUCUCUCAUUCUAAAUAUUACAUCCCAAAACUUCUUCUCUUUAUCUUGUUCUCCACUUUCUCUUCAUCAGACUUCACAUAACAAUAAAAGGAUGUUCAUGCGAUUGUCGGUCUACCACCUCCAAUACCACUCUUCUUCGUUUGCGAUACCAGCUUAGGAUUCUAGAUCACUACCAGGAUAGGAUGUCUGACGAUGAACGACAUGAAGACCAUGCCGAUUGCCAAAUCUCUCUGCCAUUUUCUCAAUCUGCAUUUUCAGAGGCUUAAGUGAGUGGCCUAAUACAUACUCACCAAACCAAAAUGUAAUUGUACUCAAACAAGGAGCCAAUUUUUACCACUGUGGCCUCGACAACAAGAGAGUGUAUGGUAUCUUAUCAGUUAUGCGGCCACCUUAGUGUUUUGUACCCUAUUUUUCUCUUAGUUUUAAUUUGUUAUUAUAAAGAAAAAUCACCCGUUGUUUUUACUUGAUUACUUUAGAGUAUAUUUUCCAUGUGUACUCUGUUUCUCUUUGCAUAAUCCAUAUGCUGGAAGUUGUAGAACUAAAUUGAUUGAACUCAAUGGUAUGAAUUCUAUUUCACCAGUUAAAGCAUGUAUUCUUUGUUA